rnacentral:rRNA from 1 species
CCUACGGGGCGCAGCAGUGGGGAAUAUUGCACAAUGGGGGAAACCCUGAUGCAGCGACGCCGCGUGAAGGAUGAAGUAUUUCGGUAUGUAAACUUCUAUCAGCAGGGAAGAAAAUGACGGUACCUGACUAAGAAGCCCCGGCUAACUACGUGCCAGCAGCCGCGGUAAUACGUAGGGGGCAAGCGUUAUCCGGAUUUACUGGGUGUAAAGGGAGCGUAGACGGCGCGGCAAGUCUGAAGUGAAAGGCAGGGGCUUAACCCCUGAACUGCUUUGGAAACUGCCGUGCUAGAGUGCUGGAGAGGUAA